rnacentral:sRNA from 12 species
AACCUGUAUUCUGAACUGUCACCGGACGGUGGCGUGGCUAGGACAUCUAGCAUAGGAACGUGGUUGGGA